rnacentral:rRNA from 1 species
UACAGAGGGUGCAAGCGUUGCUCGGAUUUACUGGGCGUAAAGCGUACGCAGACGGUGAGAAAGGUCGGAUGUGAAAGCCCCGGGCUCAACCCGGGAACUGCAUCCGAAACCAUCUCGCUCGAGUAUGGGAGAGGGAAGCGGAAUUCCUGGUGUAGAGGUGAAAUUCGUAGAUAUCAGGAGGAACACCGGCGGCGAAGGCGCUCCUGGCCCUUACUGACUGUC